UAGGGAAUCUUCCACAAUGGGCGAAAGCCUGAUGGAGCAACGCCGCGUGUGUGAUGAAGGGUUUCGGCUCGUAAACNCUGUUGUAAGAGAAGAAUGACAUUGAGAGUAACUGUUCAAUGUGUGACGGUAUCUUACCAGAAAGGAACGGCUAAUACGUGCCAG
rnacentral:rRNA from 1 species